GAUGAACGCUGGCGGCGUGCUUAACACAUGCAAGUCGAACGAUGAAGCCGGAGCUUGCUCUGGUGGAUUAGUGGCGAACGGGUGAGUAACACGUGAGUAACCUGCCCUUGACUCUGGGAUAAGCGCUGGAAACGGCGUCUAAUACCGGAUACGAGCUUCCACCGCAUGGUGAGUUGCUGGAAAGAAUUUCGGUCAAGGAUGGACUCGCGGCCUAUCAGCUGGUUGGUGAGGUAACGGCUCACCAAGGCGACGACGGGUAGCGGGCCUGAGAGGGUGACCGGCCACACUGGGACUGAGACACGGCCCAGACUCCUACGGGAGGCAGCAGUGGGGAAUAUUGCACAAUGGGCGCAAGCCUGAUGCAGCAACGCCGCGUGAGGGACGAAGGCCUUCGGAUCGUAAACCUCUUUUAGCAGGGAAGAAGCGAAAGUGACGGUACCUGCAGAAAAAGCACCGGCUAACUACGUGCCAGCAGCCGCCGUAA
rnacentral:rRNA from 1 species